GGGGGUGUUUUAGAUUCGACUUGUGAUGUUAAGGGGUAGUAAGCAUGUAGAAGGCUCGGCUUCUAUAAAACGGAACAAUAUUUAAACGCAGAUUCAGAUUUGCAAUUAGCAGCUGCGUAGAAUAGCUGCUCGUCAGCACUGUAACCUACGGACAGUUGUCUGGCGUGGUUUAGUAGGGAACCAAGCAACAAAGUAGUCUUGUAUGUUGAAUGGAAUUUAAAGACUUGGUCGAUAUGUAGCCUGCCUACUGGCGACAUUGAGACGACAAUAAACAAUAGGAUAAACAUGUAGAAAGCUAUUCGGUAGCUCAUUUGGACAGGAGUGCAAGUCUCCUCACCUCCACCA
rnacentral:tmRNA from 1 species